rnacentral:lncRNA from 1 species
CUGUACUAGUCUUUGUAUUGCUUCACACAAUAACUUGCUAUGUGAAUGAACAGUUAUUUGCUGAUUAUUUUAUUUUGUCUUCUACUUCUUGAAGCCGGCCUUAGAAAGUCAGACGGAGAGUCAUGCAAAGGUGUGUCCGGCUCAAGUGAUUCUUUUUUACAUUUAACAAACUGAGUCCUAAUCUCCCCCCCUUCUUUUUAAAAUGGAUAAUAGGGCUUACAGAUGCAAAAACAUGGCAGUUACAGAAACGGCCAAUCUGGAUGCUGCAGAGGAAAAGGUAAAGAUAAUUAAAUCUGGGUUUGAUCUAGUUUUGGAUAGACUGAUGGUGUUCGGUAAUGAGGAAUGAUACUGUGGCAGCAAAAAGAAAGAAUGCUACAAGAAUAUCUGCCCUUUCCUUGUUCUAAUUUCUUUUAUUUUACAUCAACUUUUUUUUAAUAUGUAAAGAAGUAAAAAAUUCCCAAAUUGAUAAAUCUCAUGAAUGCUUUCAGAUGCAUAAUAUAAUCUUUGUUUUGAGGCUCGUUUUCUUGACUUUUGACUGUGCUCAUCUUGCCCUAAUCUCGAGUCCAGGCCACAACCUGGAAAUGACAGCCUUUUCCUUAUGGUAUGGCAGCACAUUACACAAACACAAGUAACCCAUUAUACCUUAAUACUGAUUUUGGUGCAGCAUCACCAAGCAGCUUUGCCUACACCUUAUGGCAGCACAAAUGGGUCACUAACUUGAGUACAAAGUGAUGGUUCUGAUGCUGCAAAGCUGCAGCUUUUUAGUAGCAUAUUCAGCCAUAUUUAUAGAGUACAAGUCAUUUUGUUCUAAUGGACUUUGGCUACUGAACCUGGACAGGUUCAAUCUGCUUCUAGUGCUCAUCAAGUGAGCUGCAAAAUAUCUAAAUUAUAGCCUACAAAGCGUAGUGUGUGUUCAGGCACACAUUUAUAGAAGAAACUAGAUUUUGCUACUAGAACAGCCAAGCAAAAAAUAAUAAUCAAUACUUGUCUUUACGGAUGGGAACUCUAUUUAUUUAGGCAAUUCCUCAUAUCUGAUGCACUCGACAGCUACCAUGGUUGGUUUGCCUUUUGCUUUGAGUUGCCUGCAAAUACAUAUCACCUGUUGCAAUGCCAUGACAUUCCAAUUAUGGUUCAUCUCUGUCCUAAUGUGUUUCCCAUCAGGGUUUUUUUACCAAAGAAAAGGGGUAAAUACAAUAAAAAGCAGGCUUAAUUAGCUUAAUAACAUAGCUGAACUGUGUAGGUUCCAAGUAAUGUCAGCGUUGGGACUUCACCAAGGGGGCUUGCGCAUUAUUGUUAUGUCCAACACCUUGGUGUUCUUGAAUGAUCUGUUGCAUCUGAAAUUUAUUUGGUGCCUGUGAGAAAGAUUCUAUAGAAGAAGAUGCAGUGUAACAUAAUCAUUAUAGGCAAUAACAAUACAAAAGCAUGCUUCAGUUGCGAUGUUCGUGCCAUGCAUUGUGCUGGUUCAACAGCUUUUUAUGUUGCUUAAGCAUGCUACUUAAGUACUACACUGCAGUAACAUCAUUCGUAUCUAAUGAGACACCAGUGUUGUGUAUUGAUCAACGUAAUACAUCUCAAGCGAAAGGCGCUGGCUGGAAG